rnacentral:SRP_RNA from 1 species
UGGUGGGCGGCAUACGGCCAGCUCCCUCUAACCCCCCCAGGGCGGAAACGCAGCAAGGGUACGAGGUCGUAGCGGCUGGUAUGUUUGCUCACCUUCU